rnacentral:misc_RNA from 1 species
GCUAUCAAAGUGAAGAAUACAUUGAUUUUCAAUGCAUUUGUACUUUGUCAAAUUUUCAAUGAGUUUAAUGCUCGAAAACCUGAUGAGAAGAAUAUAUUCAAAGGAGUCACUAAAAAUUAUCUCUUCAUCGGGAUCAUUGCAAUUACUGUCAUCCUCCAGGUGAUAAUAAUUGAGUUUCUUGGGAAAUUCACAUCCACGGUAAGGCUAAAUUGGAAAUAUUGGAUUAUUUCCAUAAUCAUUGGCGUUAUCAGUUGGCCUCUUGCUCUUCUUGGGAAAUUCAUACCUGUUCCUGAAACUCCCUUCCAUGUGCUCAUUAUCAGAAUGUUCCGUAAACG